UACGUAGGGUGCAAGCGUUGUCCGGAAUUAUUGGGCGUAAAGAGCUCGUAGGCGGUCUGUUGCGUCGGCUGUGAAAACCCGGGGCUCAACUCCGGGCCUGCAGCCGAUACGGGCAGCCUAGAGGUUCGGCAGGGGAGACUGGAAUUCCUGGUGUAGCGGUGAAAUGCGCAGAUAUCAGGAGGAACACCGGUGGCGAAGGCGGGUCUCUGGGCCGAUACUGACGCUGAGGAGCGAAAGCGUGGGGAGCGAACAGG
rnacentral:rRNA from 1 species